rnacentral:rRNA from 1 species
AUGAAGCUUGGUCCGGCCGUUGUGUGCCUUCUCCUCGUCGUGCUUCUCUUCGAUGCCGCUCGCGUGGAGGCUCGAGGCACGCCGUCCGCCAAGGAGUCAUCAAAGAACCAGUGGACCAGCAUGUUCGUCUUCGGCGACGACUUUGCCGACAACGGCAACCUCCCCAAGCUGCCGGGUGGUCAGCCCCAGUCUGAUCUCUCCCGUCAGUGGAGCUACCCCUACGGCUCUUAUAUCAACUCUCGUGGCUCCGCGGCUGCCGUUCCAACCGGACGCUUCUCCAACAACCGGAUUCAGUCAGACUUUAUCGCAAGGAUCUUGGGCUUCAAUGCAGCCCCUCCGGCAUACAUGCACACACUAGAUCAGUCUUGUGAUCCAACCGGCAUGACUUUCGCUUCCGGUGGCGCCGGCGUGUUCCAGAAGAAGGUGCCAACUCUUGCCGCACAGGUUAAGUCUUUCACGAGGCUCAUCAACAGCGGAAUCAUCUCAAAAGACCAGCUUCGCCACUCCGUCGCGCUUGUCGCCAUCUCCGGCAACGAUUACAUGAGCGGCGCCGACGUCAAGAACUCCUUCUUGAGUAGCUUCGACGACAUCGACACUUACAUUGGGAACGUGACGACAGAGAUUGUGAAGAACGUGGUGCAGCUACAAAAGCUUGGUGUGAAAAAGGUGCUAGUCAACAACAUGCAUCCCAUUGGUUGCACGCCUAUGAGGACUAGUACGAACAACUACACUACAUGUGACCUUCUCGCCAACUACGCCGCGUCCGUGCAUAACAAAAAUCUAAAGCAGUUGAUGGGCAAAAAGAAUAACGCCUACAUGCUGGACCUCUACACCGCCUUCACCGACAUCAUCAAUCAUGCCCCAGGUGAAGGGUCGGAUCAGUCCAACAUGUUCAACAACAACCUGGCCCCAUGUUGCGAGGGUUUCUAUGAUACAGGGUUCUGUGGACAGCAGGAUGAUACAGGGGAGCCCCUCUACGAAUUAUGCGAAAAUCCCAACCAGCUCUUCUACUGGGACGAGGUGCAUCCGACACAUGCUGGGUGGAAAGCCGUGAUGAAGGCGCUAGAACAACCUUUGAAGGAGUUCCUAGAUCGGGCCUAUGUUCCAUGA